GAUGAACGCUGGCGGCGUGCCUAAUACAUGCAAGUCGAGCGAACGGGCGAGGCGCUUGCUUUUUUGAUGUUAGCGGCGGACGGGUGAGUCACACGUGGAUAACCCACCUAUCAUACUGGGAUAACCUCGGGACACCGGAGCUAAUCCCGGAUAAUCUUUUGAACCGCAUGGUUCAAUAGUGAAAGACGGUCUUGCUGUCACUUAUAGCUGGAUCCGCGCUGCAUUAGCUAGUUGGGAAGGUAACGGCUUACCAAGGCUAGCAUGCAUGGCCGACGUGAGAGGGUGAUCGGCCACACGGGAACUGAGACACGGUCCAGACUACUACGGGAGGCAGCAGUAGGGAAUCUUCCGCAAUGGGCGAAAGCCUGACGGAGCAACGGCGCGUGAGUGAUGAAGGUCUUCGGAUCGUAAAACCCUGUUAUUGGGGAAGAACAGAUGUGGAAGUAACUGUACACAGCGUGACGGUACCUAAUCAGAAAGCCACGGCUAACUACGUG
rnacentral:rRNA from 1 species